rnacentral:rRNA from 1 species
CAGCAGCCGCGGGAAUACGGAGGGUGCAAGCGUUAAUCGGAAUUACUGGGCGUAAAGCGCACGCAGGCGGUCUGACAAGUCAGAUGUGAAAUCCCCGGGCUUAACCUGGGAACUGCAUUUGAAACUGUCAGGCUGGAGUCUUGUAGAGGGGGGUGGAAUUCCAGGUGUAGCGGUGAAAUGCGUAGAGAUCUGGAGGAACACCGGUGGCGAAGGCGGCCCCCUGGACAAAGACUGACGCUCAGGUGCGAAAGCGUGGGGAGCAAACAGGAUUAGAUACCCGGGUAGUCCCUGUCUCUUAUAA